rnacentral:rRNA from 1 species
GAUGAACGCUGGCGGCGUGCUUAACACAUGCAAGUCGAACGGAAAGGCCCAAGCUUGCUUGGGUACUCGAGUGGCGAACGGGUGAGUAACACGUGGGUGAUCUGCCCUGCACUUCGGGAUAAGCCUGGGAAACUGGGUCUAAUACCGGAUAGGACCACAUUUUGGAUGGUGUGGUGGAAAGUUUUUCGGUGUGGGAUGAGCUCGCGGCCUAUCAGCUUGUUGGUGGGGUAAUGGCCUACCAAGGCGUCGACGGGUAGCCGGCCUGAGAGGGUGUACGGCGACAUUGGGACUGAGAUACGGCCCAGACUCCUACGGGAGGCAGCAGUGGGGAAUAUUGCACAAUGGGCGCAAGCCUGAUGCAGCGACGCCGCGUGGGGGAUGACGGCCUUCGGGUUGUAAACUCCUUUCGCUAGGGACGAAGCGUUAUGUGACGGUACCUGGAGAAGAAGCACCGGCUAACUACGUG